rnacentral:lncRNA from 1 species
GGCGGUGAGGACAAGCUUACUGGCAGUGAGGACAAGGUUCCUGCCGGUGAGGACAAGGUUCCUGGCGGUGAGGACAAGGUUCCUGGCGGUGAGGACAAGGUUCCUGGCGGUGAGGACAAGGUUCCUGGCGGUGAGGACAAGGUUCCUGGCGGUGAGGACAAGGUUCCUGGCUGUCAGCACAAGGUUCCUGGCGGUGUGGACAAGGUUCCUGGCGGUGUGGACAAGGUUCCUGGCAGUGGGGACAAGGUUCCUGCCGGUGAGGACAAGGUUCCUGCCGGUGAGGACAAGGUUCCUGGCGGUGAGGACAAGGUUCCUGGCGGUGAGGACAAGGUUCCUGGCGGUGAGCACAAGGUUCCUGGCGGUGAGGACAAGGUUCCUGGCGGUGAGGACAAGGUUCCUGGCGGUGAGGACAAGGUUCCUGGCGGUGAGGACAAGGUUCCUGGCCGUGAGGACAAAGUUCCUGGCGGUGAGAAUAAGGUUCCUGGCGGUGAGAACAAAGUUCCUGGCGGUGAGGACAAGGUUCCUGGCGGUGAGGACAAGGUUCCUGGCGGUGAGG